rnacentral:rRNA from 1 species
AUGAUUGAAAGAAACUGCCCCAUCAUGAGCUAGAACAUCCGAGGUUUAAACACGACGGAGCGAUGCGCGGUAGUCUGCGAGACGGCAGAGGUGCAUAAGCUAGCAAUCCUCUACCUCCAGGAGACCAAGAUCGAAGCCAGGAGUCACCCCCUGGUCAAGGAGGUAGGCGGAGCAAGGCUCGUCGACUGUGUGGUGCUUCCCGCCUCCGGCACCAGGGGCGGAGCCGCGAUUUUAUGGGACAGUAGUGUAGUAGACGUGCAAACGCAUGCUAUCGGUCAAUUCUCCAUCACCGCCCGCGUUACCUCAACGACAACAUCAACACCUUUCUGGCUAACCACGGUGUACGGACCCGUCGAUGACAGUAGAAAAGACGAGUUCUUGUCAGAAAUAGCUAGGACGACGCCGCCAACAAACGAUCCCUGCCUCAUCAACGGUGAUUUUAACCUCAUAUGCAAAGCGAGAGACAAGAACAAUAGCAACAUCAAUCGUAGAAUCAUGGGAAAAUUCCGGGCGGCGAUCGACACCGCAGGACUCCGGGAGAUUAGAUGCAAAAACCGUCGAUACACAUGGAGCAGCGAUCGCGAAGAUCCAACACUUGUCAGCAUCGACAAGUUUUUCUGCAGCAAUGCUUGGGACGCCCUCUUUCCAACUUUCCUCCUUCACGCCACUUCGAUGUCCUGCUCUGACCAAUGCCCCUUGCUGCUCGCCGCAGCCAGCGCACCAUGCUGA